AAAUGAAUCGUCUUCUGUUCUAAAGGUAUUGACAUAUAGGUAUAAUUCCGUAUUGAAAUUAAUGUACUUUUCAUUGCUUCGAAGAUGAUCACAUGGGGGAAGAUUUUCCCCGAUGAAAUUGUAAAAUAAAAUCUAAUAUGAGACAUCGACAACUCUCUGUGUUAUUACGCAAAAAAAGUGAUUUUCUCAUCCACUUUGUUGAAGAAACGUAGCCUUUUUUUUUAAAUUCGUGGAAAUUAUUUUUAAUUUGAUUUCCUUAUACGUAUCAAAUUGUAGGUUUUUUCUCAUACAACUGCUAUAGUUGCCAUGGUAUGUAUGACAACUCCCCUCAAGAAGUUGACAACUGUCGAAAGUUUGUUAAUAUUAGCGCAACUAGCAGUUGUACACGACCUGGAUAUUGCAUAUUUUAUUAUGGAGAGGUUACGAUCAACCAUAAGCCCGUUGUCAAAACGGGAAGAAUGUGUGCUACAGAACAAUGUGCUGCCAUGAAAGGAUGGACCGCAAAAAGCAUACACUGUUCGGAUUGCAAAGGCGACUAUUGCAAUACUGACAAAUAUGAUAAAUAAGAUUACUGAUUACGUUAUUGUUUUUUCUUUAACUGAUCGUCUAAACUACAAAAUGUAAUAAUUAUGUUGUAAUAUACGUACCAUUGGAAUCCAUUUUUGAGACACCUUUUUUCUCAAUCAUCAAGUCGCAGGAAGUCUGUGGUCACUAAAAUAGAGGGAGGUGUUUAUAUUCAGGCGCACUUUACAACUCUGUAGUUUGCAGUAGGUAUUUGUGACGUUAGAGUACGCAGAAAUUUAACUUUGGACGUGUUUUGGCGGUUUGCGUUGUUGAAAAUAAACUCUAAAUAUAAUAAUAAACGAAAAUGAUGAAUGAGUAUAAACUGAUCGAAUUAAUUCAAGAUGGGACACAAAUUCAGUGCAGUUCAGAAAUAAAAUUAUUAAAUUAAAUACGUGGAAUGAAAUUUCAAAACAACUAGGGGCAACUGGUGAUGACUGCCAGAAUACUUGGAAGAGGUUACGAGAUAGAUACACUCGCAAUAAAAGAUUGGCACCCUCCGGUGCAGAAGGUGCUAGGAAAAAGUGGGACAAAGAGGAUUUAUUGCGAUUUCUGGACAAGAUUUUAGUGACACGAAGAACUACAAGUUGCGCAGCUGAAUACAGUGAAAGUAAUGGAAAUACUGAAUCGCUACCAGAAACGGAACAGAUUUUCGCACAGGAAAGUGUAGAAUUGAAUGAAGUUGAAAUUUUCGAUUCUGCAAAUGCAGAGGAUACUGGUGACAAUCAUACACAGUCACUACCCAUUAACGUGGAAAUAAUCCCAGCAGAAGUUGUAGAUUUGAAGCCUACAUCCACCUGUCACUUUUCAUCUUCGUGGUCAAUUACACUAUUUAUGUAGUCAUCUCUAACUCUGAUGCACCUUAGAAAAUGAUGUAAAGCAACUGUUGCCUUAACUAUACUGUCCACAGUGGUUGGUUGUACAAAAUCGGUUUUCUUAGAAUUCUCCACCUGGACGCCAAAAUUCCAAAUGCCACUAUUCGGCGGCCCCUACUUAAUCGAUAGUUGAAAAUUCGCGAUUCUUUUGACAUUUCAUUUUUCGGAUAGGGUCUUAUAAUAUUUCUUCACAAGGGAAACGCUUCAUCAGCAACAAAAUGGCAAGGAAAAUUUUCAUUUGUGCGAGGUAAAAUGUAGUUUUUUGGAACAUUUAGGGUUUCGUUCCAUCUUGCAGCACCAAAAUUAGGAUUUCUGAACACUCCAUUAUCUCCACAAAUGCCUGUAAUAAUCCACAUUAUGUAAAAGGAAUUAUAAUGUUAUGAUGUGAUA